rnacentral:rRNA from 1 species
GGGAUACCACUUGGAAACAGGUGCUAAUACCGGAUAACAACAAUAGCUGCAUGGCUAUUGCUUAAAAGGCGGCGAAAGCUGUCGCUAAAGGAUGGACCCGCGGUGCAUUAGCUAGUUGGUAAGGUAAUGGCUUACCAAGGCGACGAUGCAUAGCCGAGUUGAGAGACUGAUCGGCCACAUUGGGACUGAGACACGGCCCAAACUCCUACGGGAGGCAGCAGUAGGGAAUCUUCCACAAUGGGCGAAAGCCUGAUGGAGCAACGCCGCGUGAGUGAAGAAGGUUUUCGGAUCGUAAAGCUCUGUUGUUGGUGAAGAAGGAUAGAGGUAGUAACUGGCCCCUAUCUGACGGUAAUCAACCAGAAAGUCACGGCUAACUACGUGCCAGCAGCCGCGGUAAUACGUAGGUGGCAAGCGUUGUCCGGAUUUAUUGGGCGUAAAGCGAGCGCAGGCGGAAAGAUAAGUCUGAUGUGAAAGCCCCCGGCUUAACCGAGGAAUUGCAUCGGAAACUGUGUUUCUUGAGUGCAGAAGAGGAGAGUGGAACUCCAUGUGUAGCGGUGGAAUGCGUAGAUAUAUGGAAGAACACCAGUGGCGAAGGCGGCUCUCUGGUCUGUAACUGACGCUGAGGCUCGAAAGCAUGGGUAGCGAACAGGAUUAGAUACCCUGGUAGUCCAUGCCGUAAACGAUGAGU